CCUACGGGAGGCAGCAGUGAGGAAUAUUGGUCAAUGGGCGCGAGCCUGAACCAGCCAAGUAGCGUGAAGGAUGACUGCCCUACGGGUUGUAAACUUCUUUUAUAAAGGAAUAAAGUGAGGCACGUGUGCCUUUUUGUAGGUACUUUAUGAAUAAGGAUCGGCUAACUCCGUGCCAGCAGCCGCGGUAAUACGGAGGAUGCGAGCGUUAUCCGGAUUUAUUGGGUUUAAAGGGAGCGUAGAUGGGUUGUUAAGUCAGUUGUGAAAGGUUGCGGCUCAACCGUAAGAUGGCAAUGGAUACUGGCAGUCUUGAGUACAGUUGAGGUAGGCGGAAUGCGUGGUGUAGCGGUGAAAUGCUUAGAUAUCACGAAGAACUCCGAUUGCGAAGGCAGCCUACCAAACUGCCACUGACAUUGAGGCACGAAAGUGUGGGUAUCAAACAGGAUUAGAUACCCUGGUAGUC
rnacentral:rRNA from 1 species